UACCGUCAAUUCAUUUGAGUUUCAGCCUUGCGACCGUACUCCCCAGGCGGAAUGCUUAAUGCGUUAGCUUCGGCACGGCAGGGAUCGAUACCCGCCACACCAAGCAUUCAUCGUUUAGGGCCAGGACUACCGGGGUAUCUAAUCCCGUUUGCUCCCCUGGCUUUCGCUCCUCAGUGUCAGUAUUGGUCCAGGACGCCGCCUUCGCCACCGGUGUUCCUCCAGAUAUCUACGCAUUUCACCGCUCCACCGGAAAUUCCCUCUGCCCCUACCGUACUCCAGCUUGGUAGUUUCCACCGCCUGUCCAGGGUUGAGCCCUGGGAUUUGACGGCGAACUUAAAAAGCCACCUACAGACGCUUUACGCCCAAUCAUUCCGGAUAACGCUUGCAUCCUCUGUCUUAC
rnacentral:misc_RNA from 1 species